GUCUUUCAAGUCCGAUGCUAAAGACUGGGGCUCAACCCCAGGGGUGCGUUGGAUACUGUGAGGCUAGACGGUCGGAGGGGGUAGCGGAAUUUCCGGAGUAGCGGUGAAAUGCGCAGAUACCGGAAGGAACGCCAAUAGCGAAGGCAGCUACCUGGACAACUUGUGACGCUGAGGCGCGAAAGCGUGGGGAGCAAACCGGAUUAGAUACCCGGGUAGUCCACGCCCUAAACCAUGAGUGCUGGGUGUCCGGCUUCUGCUGGGUGCCGUAGCUAACGCGCUAAGCACUCCGCCUGGGAAGUACGCACGCAAGUGUGAAACUCAAAGGAAUUGACGGGGGCCCGCACAAGCGGUGGAGCAUGUGGUUUAAUUCGAAGCGACGCGAAGAACCUUACCAGGCCUUGACAUGCCCGGAACCCCUCUGAAAGGAGGGGGUGCCCGCAAGGGAGCCGGGACACAGGUGCUGCAUGGCCGUCGUCAGCUCGUGUCGUGAGAUGUUGGGUUAAGUCCCGCAACGAGCGCAACCCCUAUCCCUAGUUGCCAGCAGUUCGGCUGGGCACUCUAUGGAGACUGCCUGCGAAAGCAGGAGGAAGGCGGGGAUGACGUCUGGUCCGCAUGGCCCUUACGGCCUGGGCGACACACGUGCUACAAUGCCAAGGACAGAGCGCUGCUACCUCGCGAGAGGACGCCAAUCGCAAAAACCUUGGCUCAGUUCGGAUUGGAGUCUGCA
rnacentral:rRNA from 1 species